UGGGUAGUCCGCACGAGCGCACCCUGUCCUUAGUUGCCAGCACAUAAUGGUGGGGACUCUAAGGAGACUGCCUGGGAUAACCAGGAGGAAGGUGGGGAUGAUGUCAAGUCAGUAUGUCCCUUAUGUCCAGGGCUACACACGUGUUACAAUGGCCGGUACAAUGGGCUGCAAUCCCGCGAGGGCAAGCUAAUCCCAAAAAACCGGCCCCAGUUCAGAUUGGAGUCUGCAACUCGACUCCAUGAAGGAGGAAUCGCUAGUAAUCGCGCAUCAGCACGGCACGGUGAAUACGUUCCCGGGUCUUGUACACACCGCCCGUCACGCCAUGGAAGUCAGCAGUACCCGAAGCCGGUGGCCUAACCUUCGGGAGGGAGCCGUCUAAGGUAAGGCUGGUAACUGGGGCGAAGUCGUAACAAGGUAGCCGUACCGGAAGGUGCGGCUGGAUCACCUCCUUUCU
rnacentral:rRNA from 1 species